UACGAAGGGGGCUAGCGUUGUUCGGAAUUACUGGGCGUAAAGCGCGCGCAGGCGGUUCUUCAAGUCAGUGGUGAAAGCCCGGAGCUCAACUCCGGAACUGCCAUUGAAACUGUAGAACUUGAGGAUGAGAGAGGUGAGUGGAAUUCCCAGUGUAGAGGUGAAAUUCGUAGAUAUUGGGAAGAACACCGGUGGCGAAGGCGGCUCACUGGCUCAUUUCUGACGCUCAGGCGCGACAGCGUGGGGAUCGAAACAGG
rnacentral:rRNA from 1 species